rnacentral:rRNA from 1 species
CCCUGUAGCCCAAUACUGGUUGCUCACUGAAGCUAAUUGGUCAGUACCUGGAUGGGAGACCUCCUGGGAAAACUAGGUUGCUGCUGGAA